ACGUCGUCCAUCGUAUAUCAUCGUAACGCCGCCACCACUUUCUUUCUCGCCGCUGGCCGUCUGCUUAUCUCCCUCAGCCUCAUCUCCUUCUUCCCCUUCGUGUUGCUCGAGUAUUUGUAAACAUAAGCACCGAAACGUUUCGUCGCUUCCCAUUUUUCUAUGCGGCAGCAAGAGGCAACGAAGUGGCAAAAAGGUGGAACCGCCACCAACGAAGGAGGAGGAGGGAGGGAGGGAGGGAGCGAGAGAGCAAGAAUCGCCUACUUUUUGCUUCUCGAAUCCACCUCGUUACCUUAAAAUUUUGCUUCCUCUGCAUUUAUUUUGCUUUCCGAGUAGAUCUGAUCGCCCCUGCCAACUGACAAUUUUCCUCCCUGCCUUCUCAAUUUGAUGCUUGAUGAGGCUCUCGGUCAAGAACCUCGUGUUCUUCUUCGCCGUGGUUUUCUUGUGUCCUUUUGGAUUUCCUUCUCCUUCCUCACCUUCCUCGAUUUUUCGUUUCCUAAUCAGAGAGAAAGAAACGACAAUCGGGAAGAAAGAUAGCGGGGAAGAGGAGGAGAAGAUGACGAUGACAAGAGAAUGGGGAAUUGCUUUGGUUCGUCUUCAAGAUCUCCCACUCCUGCAGUUGCCACACCGUAAGUCCAGGUCGCUCGACGUCAAGGACCAGCGGUAGCGAGACGACCACCGGGAAGGUGUCGAACCUCAGCAGCAGCACGACCCUGGGGGAGUCCUCCGGCAACGACAUCAGCGUCGAGAAGGUGUUCCCGGAGGGGAGGAUCCUGGAGGCGCCCAACCUUCGCGUCUAUACCUUCGUCGAGCUCCGGAGGUCCACUAGGAACUUCAAGCCCGAGUCCGUUCUCGGAGAGGGUGGAUUCGGGAAGGUGUAUAAGGGCUGGGUGGAGGAGAAGACUCUCAAUCCUUCCAAGAGCAGCGUGGGCACGUUGGUGGCCGUGAAGAAGCUCAACCCUGAAAGCGUGCAGGGGCUGGAGGAGUGGCAGGUUCUUUAAUAAAAUUUUCCUGCACAAAACAUGAACUAUGCGAAUCAUCAGGUACUUAUCCUUUCAAAGUUCGCGAAGAUAGCAAUGGGGGAUGGUGAAGGUUCUGCAAGCAGAGAAAUGGGGGUAUCUCACCCUAUCACAAACACAACCGGAGAAUACCAAGUUCUUCAACAAAAUUUUCUUGCACAAAACAUGAACUGUGCGAACCAUCAGUUCCAAAGUGGUGAUCUAUGAACUUGGUGUUUAUCUGUUUACAUUUCCCAGUUGCUACAAUUCAUCCACGUAAGGUUUCUGAUUAUUUUGUACAUGAUAUUCAUUUAAUGUUGAUGCUGUUAUUCAUCCUGCAAACAAUGUCAAAUGGAGCAUUUAAGCGUCACUUUUUUGUGCAAGAAAAAGUAAUUCUUCUUUGCCUAAACUAAAGCAUUUAAAAUACUUGGAUUUAAGCUUCAACAACUUCGCAUCCCAAGCUAGUAUGAUUUCCUCGCUUGUCCAUGUGGAACAUCUUAACCUCUCCAAUGCAAUAUUUGAUGGAUUAAUUCCUCAACAAUUAGGCAAUCUUUCUAACCUACGCUUCCUCGACCUUAGUUGUUGUGAUUGGCGUUCUUCACAAUGGUCAAAUGACAUGAGUUGGCUUUCCCACUUAACUUCUCUAGAAUAUCUAGACAUGAGUUGUGUCAAUCUCUCUUUAGCAAAUACUUGGCUUCACCAAAUUAAUUAUAAUAGCCUAGAACAUCUUUCUUUGUCAAAUUGUUUGCUACAAGAUGCAGCAGGAGCUGGCACAAGUAUGACACAACUCAAUUCAUCAAGCAAUCAAAUAGAAGGAAAUAUUUUUGUGAAUGCCAAUAGAAAAUUGAAGCACUUGGAUUUAGCUGGCUCAUCAACAACCGGAUGCGGAGCAAUGUAAUUUUUAUAUCAUGCGAUAUAUGAAAGAUA